rfam:Ailuropoda melanoleuca scaffold2498_18, whole genome shotgun sequence.
CCAAAGGCUCUUUUCAGAGCCACCCACUGUAUUCUAUGACAGAUG